rnacentral:misc_RNA from 1 species
AAGUCGUAACAAGGUUUCCGUAGGUGAACCUGCGGAAGGAUCAUUAGCAAGAUUGCCCCUCUGUGAUUCUCUAGAAAAGGGAGAUGUGGGGGGCAAGUAUGCCAUCCUUGUGCUGUGUUUUUGUAUGUUGGAGUGCUCACGCAUAACAGUUUGGGCACUCCUACCUUUUUAAUACCCAUCUCUACAUAUAUUUCUUAACCUCUUUUUUGUCUGGCAACAGGCAUCAAAAAAAAACAAUCGAAAACUGCCAGCAAUGGAUCACUCGGUUCUC